AACUAACAGAUACGUUACAUGUAACUUGGUGUUUGGUGGGUUACUUACAGUAUCAGUACCUCAAACAACAUUCAUAAAAGAUUACAAAAUGAUGCAAAAUUUUUUAAUAAAUAUUUAUCAAGUAAUAUAACCUCUAGUAAAGCGAUAGGUGUAGUAGACAAUACAGAAAAAGAAAAUAUUGAUCCUAAGGAGACAACAUUUAAUUGGACAAGACAAAAUACAAAACUUUUAUUAGAAAAAUAUAAUGAAAGAAAAUUACAAUUUCGCGAUCCAUAAAUUAAAGGCAUUUCAAGACCUAA